GAUGAACGCUGGCGGCGUGCCUAAUACAUGCAAGUCGAGCGAACAGACGAGGAGCUUGCUCCUCUGACGUUAGCGGCGGACGGGUGAGUAACACGUGUAUAACCUACCUAUAAGACUGGUAUAACUUCGGGAAACCGGAGCUAAUACCGGAUAAUAUAUUGAACCGCAUGGUUCAAUAGUGAAAGACGGUUUUGCUGUCACUUAUAGCUGGAUCCGCGCCGCAUUAGCUAGUUGGUAAGUUAACGGCUUACCAAGGCAACGAUGCGUAGCCGACCUGAGAGGGUGAUCGGCCACACGGGAGCUGAAACGCGGUCCCGACUCCUGCGGGAGGCAGCAGUGGGGUAUCGUCCGCAAUGGGCGAAAACCUGACAGAGCAACGCCGAGUGAGUGAUGAAGGUCUUCGGAUCGUAAAACUCUGUUAUUAGGGAAGAACAAAUGUGUAAGUAACUAUGCACGUCGUGACGGUACCGAAUCAGAAAGCCACGGCUAACUACGUG
rnacentral:rRNA from 1 species